rnacentral:rRNA from 1 species
UACGUAGGGGGCAAGCGUUGUCCGGAAUCAUUGGGCGUAAAGCGCGUGUAGGCGGCUCGAUAAGUCCGCUGUGAAAGUCCAGGGCUCAACCCUGGAAUGCCGGUGGAUACUGUCGGGCUCGAGUCCGGAAGAGGCGAGUGGAAUUCCUGGUGUAGCGGUGAAAUGCGCAGAUAUCAGGAAGAACACCCGUGGCGAAGGCGGCUCUCUGGGACGGUACUGACGCUGAGACGCGAAAGCGUGGGGAGCGAACAGG